GACGUUUUCUCCCAGUUGCAUUUCAGACCAGAUAUAAGGAGGUUCUUGUAAAGGCACAUACUGCUGCAUCUGGAGCGGUGCUAAGAUUGCAAAUAGCUCUUGUUCUUGGUAGGAAAAGGAAACCAAUUGAGUGGUCUGAGUUUCAGAUAAAUGCUAUUCAUACUAGCUUUUGGAAGAUAUCUAUGGUUAUGAUUGAAGAAUGUUGAAGACAAAAUUGCCUUUUGCUCAUGGAGUGGUUCAUUUAGAUGUUCUUCAAUUUCUUAAACUGUGAUUGCUUUUGUAAAUGUACCUUAUGUACAAGUGAUAUUUUGGACAAAUGUUAUUUUUGUAGGCAUUAGUUGGGUAAUGUACACUUGAAUUUGGCAUUUGAGAAUGCUAUAUUAUUACCAUGUAAUCUAAUGCAAAUACUUUU